rnacentral:misc_RNA from 1 species
GGAAGGAUCAUCAAAGAGUAUGCAACUUGUUGCACCACUCGCACACACGCGUCGAGGUGCUGGGCGACCACCGUUGCCGGCACUGAGAUGCAAGUAACAGGACAAGGCCCCUUGCGGGCUGAGUCCGACCCGACUCGCUUCAGUCGGGGCAAAUCUGAACGGAAUCAUUCUAUGACGGUGCUUAAGCUGGAUUGCCAAGUCGACAGUGUUGUUCCGCCUGUCGUCGCGCAUUGGCGGCUUUCCAGUGGUGGCGGCUAUCCGCUCACAGUGAGUGAGAGGGAGUUGCAAGCUCAAUGAGCGCCAGUCGGCGCCGCCGUCAAAUACACACACACAAUACCAUGAAACACGAACUUUUAAUACAAAUUAUUCCGAGCGGUGGAUCACUCGGCUCAUGGGUCGAUGAAAAGCGCAGCCAACUGCGUGACUUAAUGCGAAUUGCAGACACAUUGAGCAUCGACAUCUUGAACGCACAUGGCGGCAUCGGGGUCUCGAUCCCGAUGCCACGCCUGUUCGAGGGUUGCACAAGCAAUGAAGGGCAGUUGCCGAUUGGGCGUGUGUGUUUGCACUCUUGUAAUGACUGGGCAAAUGCUGCUGUAUCGGAUGACAAAACUGGUGCGCGGUGGAUGUGUCGCGGUCUGUUCUCUAACGAUUCUUGAGUUCGGAUGGUGGCUGUCUGGCUGCAUUAUCACUAGUGCUUUGGCAACACGGAGCAACUAACUACCAUACAUGGUUGCGCUGUCCAGUAGCCUGCUUCGCGCUGUGACAAGUGCCGACGAAAGCCUCUCGUCUGCUUCGCACUUGGAACGCGUAUAUAGUUGUGGGGCGGGUGAAGAUGGACGGUGCUUUUGCAAGUUCAACUCGGAUCAGACGUGACUACCCGCUGAAUUUAAGCAUAUCACUAGGCCGGAGGAAAAGAAACUAACAAGUAUUCCCUGAGUAACGGCGAGUGAAACGGGAAAAGCCCAGCACCGAAUUCCGCAGUGCUUCACUGUUGGGACAUGUGGUGUUAAGGUGGUGCUAUCCGGCAUUGCUGCGCGCUCUAAGUUCUCUUGACCGAGACCACAGACCAUAGAAGGUGGCGAGUCCUGUGAGGGUGCGCGGCGUGUCGGUGUGUGCUACCGUGGAGUCGAGUUGCCUGAGAUCGCAGCUCAAAGCAGGUGGUAAGCCUCACCUAAGGCUAAAUACAACCAUGAGACCGAUAGCAAACAAGUACUGUGAAGGAAAGUUGCAAAGAACUUUGAAGAGAGAGUUCAAGAGGACGUGAAACUGCUCGGAAGGAAACAGGUAGAGCUACUGAUAGUGUGCGUGUUACAGGCUGGCGGCCGGCGGCCGCGUGCAUUGCGUUUCGUAAGAGCGCGGUGUGCGUGCGCUGUUGGUUGUCGGUUGCAUUUCACGUGCAUGCGCGCGAGGGCGAUCGGUUGUUCCUUGUGUGCGCGUCGGUGGACGGGACUCCCCGGAGUUACCAGCCGGCGUGGCGCACUUGUGUAACGGCUGAGCGUUUGUAUGCCGGCGGUGCGCAUUCGGGUGUUCCGGUUGUUGUUCGUGUGGGCAAGCGCUUGCGCAAGCUUGUGCGGAUGGUGACUGGUGUGCUCAUUUGCCGUCUGGUGUCGUCUCGGUGUACAAGGUGGCCACCUACCUGACCCGUCUUGAAACACGGACCAAGGAGUCUAACAUGCCUGCGAGUGAAUGGGUGCCAAAACCCAGACGCGCAAUGAAAGUGAAGUCGGCUUGCCGAUCGACACACGACCCGUCCCUCGCGGGCGGUGCAGUGUGGUGUCGUCAUGAUUGCUUGCAAUGUGGCGAACACAGAGCAGUCAUGUUGGGACCCGAAAGAUGGUGAACUAUGCCUGAGCAGGACGAAGCCAGAGGAAACUCUGGUGGAGGUCCGAAGCGGUUCUGACGUGCAAAUCGAUCGUCAGACUUGGGUAUAGGGGCGAAAGACUAAUCGAACCAUCUAGUAGCUGGUUCCCUC